rnacentral:rRNA from 1 species
AACGCACCUUGCGCUCCUUGGUAUUCCGAGGAGCAUGCCUGUUUGAGUGUCAUUAAUAUAUCAAUCUCUUCAGCUUCUUGCAUGUUGAGUAUUGGAUGUGGGGGGGUUAUUUCUUUGCUGGACUCUAAUCUGAGGUCAGCUCCCCUAAAAUACAUUAGCGAAACAAUUUGUUCAUUGCUCAUUGGUGUGAUAACUAUCUACGCUAUUGACAGUGAAAGCAUGUUUAGCUUCUAACAGUCCGUUAACUUGGACAACUUUUGUUAUUAAUGUGACCUCAAAUCAGGUAGGACUACCCGCUGAACUUAA